rnacentral:rRNA from 1 species
GAUGAACGCUGGCGGCGUGCCUAACACAUGCAAGUCGAACGAAAAGACGCGGCGCUUGCUCGUCGGACGUUAGCCGCGGGCGUGAGAGUAACGCGUGUACCACGUACCUGUAAGUCUGUGAUCACUUGGGGAAACCGGAGCUAAUACCGUAUAAUAUAUUGAACCGCGUGGGGCAAUGGUUAGAGACGGUGGUGCGGUCACUUAUAGAUGGAUCCGGGCGUCAUUAGCUAGUUGGUAAGGUCAAGGCUUACCAAGGCAACGAUGCGUACCCGACCGGAGAGGGGGAUCGGCCACACUGGAACUGAGACACGGCCCAGACUCCUACGGGAGGCAGCAGUAGGGAAUCUUACGCAAUGGGCGAAAGCCUGACACAGCAACGCCGCGUGAGGGAUGAAGGCCUUCGGAUCGUAAAACUCUGUUGUUCGGAAAGAACCACUGUGGAAUUAACCAUGCAGGUAAUGACGGUACCGGAUCAAAAAGCACCGGCUAACUACGUG